AUCUCAAAGAGGCCUGGCUAGGAAGACAUCCUUUCUGGGUGAGUCUUCUCCUUUCUGCCUGGCUGCCUACAUGCCGAGCAACCUCCAUCAAAAAAUAUACCAGCAUUUCAGAUCCACCUUCCGUCUCAUAGAUGACAUUGCAAACGUCCCUAGGUGGGUGCAUUCCCAUUGUCAAAUCCUCUUGUGGUGCCGUCCUUCAUUCAAGAUGGUUCCUUACUUAUGUGUACAUGCGAUGACAUCUGAGAGUCAGAAAGCCCUCCUGGACUGUUCACACCGCCCAGUGCCCUCGCUGCUGACACCAGCCUUGGCAACUGAACCUCCAAAGAAAACAGUCUAUGGAUUAAUACUUGGACUCGACAGUGCCUUCUGCAACUGGUGAUAGAAGAAGACACCAUUUCCUAGCUCUCUCUGACACACAAUUCUCACCAACACCAAAAAACAGUGGCUAACAAGACUGAACUACAAACCUCAACCUGGUUUCUAGUGCGCUUCUGUUUACCCUGCUUCUGCUAAUGAGAUACUACUUGGAGAUGCAAAUUUUUAAGAAUGUUAGCUUCAGCCUGGAGAGAAGGAAACUGCAAUUUGCAGUUUGUGCUGGGAGUGAUAACCUUCGUAAGUAAUGGGUUUCACUGAUUAACUGCUGCUAACAAAACAUUGUUGCCAAACCUGUUAAUCUAAAACUAGCAAUAGGACGGCUGUUAGAUCCACAUUUCCCUUCCUCCAGUCCCCAGAGAGCUCAGAGAAAUAUUUCUCACUUAAAUAGCCUUCAUCUUCCCAUGUAUUUUAUUGCAUCUGCUAAUAGGUUAGCCAUAAGUUAGGAGCGGUUCGGAGAUAGAUAUCCAAUCAACCUCAACGAGGAGUUCAAGGAGAAAAGCAAUUCCAUUUAAAACAUGGUUUUUGUUUGUUUGUUUGUUUUCCUAACUGGAAGGUGGAGUGGGGAAAUGUGUGAGUUUGCUGAGUACUCAAAUAAAUGGAAGUACUAAGCGCUCUUAGUGAUCAGAAGGUUUGAUGUCUCGCGUCGCUCGUUGUGUAUGUGACAGUGCACUCAAUUCCCAGAACCAAGCAACAACCCUUUCACGGAGAUUCUUUCUGCUGACCUGCCCACGAAAACCCACCCCAAUUGACUCUCAAUAUUUUGCUGCUUAGAUUGACAUCUGAGAGAGCCCCUAAAGCAGGUCCUCAUUGUGCCCUCAACUUUGUCAUAAGCGCCUCCACCCCACAAAGCUGGGGUGGGCUCUCCCACUCUGGACUAUGGAAGUCUAGUCACAGGAAGCCUGCUUUACUGCUAAGUCACAGACCUGUGGCAUAUUGGGACAGUGUAAAGGUGCAAACACGUGGGCCUUGUCUGGUCUGCCCCCCUAAUAGCUGGGAAGAUCACGUGACUUCAUCAUUUUCAGUAUCUUGAGAUGAGCAUCCUGGAAAAGUUAAAGGUUUUUGUUUUUACCCCUCCCCCCAGCUCCCAAGGUUAAGGGGAAUAUCUCUUUAAGUACAUUAAUGGAAAAAUAUAUUGCUCAAAUAGUGAAAUAUAUAUAAAUGUACCAAAGCACUUUAAAUACUCAAACUGGUUGAUGCUGAUGAAUGUUUCCAAUAAAAAAAUAAAUUUUGUUU
rnacentral:lncRNA from 1 species